rnacentral:rRNA from 1 species
UACGUAGGGUGCGAGCGUUAAUCGGAAUUACUGGGCGUAAAGCGUGCGCAGGCGGUUCGUUAAGUCAGAUGUGAAAGCCCCGGGCUCAACCUGGGAACUGCAUUUGAAACUGGCGGGCUUGAGUGUGGCAGAGGGGGGUGGAAUUCCGCGUGUAGCAGUGAAAUGCGUAGAGAUGUGGAGGAACACCGAUGGCGAAGGCAGCCUCCUGGGCCAGCACUGACGCUCAUGCACGAAAGCGUGGGGAGCGAACGGG